GGGGGGAGGGAGGCUAGGGGGCCGGGCGUCUGCUUUUCCACCGGCUAGUUCCACUAACAGCCUUCCCCAGCCGCGGCUCCCACGCGCUGGCGCUGGCGCUGGCGCUGGCGCGGGGCGGGGCCGCUGACUCGGGGGCUGUCCGCUCCCGGAGGAGCCUGGAUUUCUGCCUGCCCUCGGCGCCUGGUGGGCGAGCGGCGCACGCGCGAGGCGUCCCCCGGCCGGCCCUCCGCCCACGUGACCCGAGCCCCGCGGGCUCCCGGCGCGCUGUGGUGGGCAAUUGGAGCUGGGCAUUCCGGAUCGGGAGACGCUGGGAGCGAGACGUGCCUUCCCCACCCCCACCCCCCCCCACCUCCUCCGCAGAGGAUGGCCUGAUUGGGGACGUCAUGGCGAGCAGCGUCCUCUUUAUUGUGUGAGGCGGCGUGGGCACGGCUGGGAGGCAGCUGCCCCCGCCGCCAACUCCUCAGCCUCCCGAAGUUUGUGCCCCGUGUCCUAGCUGCUGCUGCUGCUGCGUUUGGCCGCGAGGAUGCCGAGUUAGGCUUUCCUCGGGCAGCCAGCAGGGAUGCGUCUGCGAGAGCGUGCAUGUGUGCCGAAAGAGGGGGCAACGGUCAGCGCACCGCAGGACAGUUAGUCCCCAGGGCAACGCUGGCGCUCAGGGGUGUAAAUAUUGAGCAGCGGAGGUGCCGCGCUCUCGCCAGAUCCUUCCAGGCGGGGCGGCUCGGCGUGAUGCUACAGUAGGGGUGCGCUGUAUUCGCAUGCCCCGAGCCCGGCUUAGCGGCAGCUUUCUGGGGUCUCGGCCCAGUGGAGUCCGGGGGAAAAGCAGGGGGACUAGCUGUUGGAAGGGUGCAGCAAAUAAAGCAAUAAAUGGCCAGCAACAGGAGCAUCGAGCUGGAGCACUUUGAGGAGCGGGACAAAAGGCAGCAGCGCUCCGGGGCCCGCAGAGCGGGGACCGGCUCGAGUUGCAGCAGCAGCUCCGGGCCCAAGGGGAACGGGCUCGUCCCAAGCCCCGCGCACAGCGCCCACUGCAGCUUCUACCGCACGCGGACGCUGCAGGCCCUCAGCUCGGAGAAGAAAGCAAAGAAAGCCCGGUUCUACCGCAAUGGGGACAGGUACUUCAAGGGCUUGGUGUUUGCCAUUUCCAGCGACCGCUUUCGCUCCUUCGAUGCUCUCCUGAUCGAGCUCACCCGCUCGCUGUCGGACAAUGUGAACCUGCCCCAGGGGGUCCGCACUAUCUAUGCCAUUGAUGGCAGCAGGAAACUCACCAGCCUGGAGGAGCUCGUGGAAGGUGAAAGUUAUGUAUGCGCAUCCAAUGAACCAUAUCGCAAAGUUGAUUAUACCAAGAAUGUCAAUCCAAACUGGUCUGUGAAUAUUAAGACUGGGUCUGCUCGAUCCUUGACAUCUCUGACAUCUAUGAAAAGCGAAGUGAAGGAGAGUAAAGAUUUCAUUAAACCCAAACUGGUAACUGUUAUUCGGAGUGGAGUGAAGCCACGGAAAGCUGUGAGAAUUCUGCUGAAUAAAAAGACUGCUCAUUCCUUUGAACAGGUUUUGACUGACAUCACAGAAGCCAUUAAGUUAGAUUCAGGCAUUGUCAAGAGACUUGUAACACUAGAUGGGAAGCAGGUUACCUGCUUGCAGGACUUUUUUGGAGAUGAUGAUGUUUUCAUUGCAUGUGGACCUGAGAAAUAUCGUUAUGCUCAAGAUGACUUUGUACUGGAUCAUAGUGAGUGUCGUGUUAUGAAGUCAUCUUAUUCCCGUUCACCUGGUACACCAAGGCAAUCUGGAUCCAAAAGCCCAGGACCCUCACGUCGAAGCAAGUCACCUGCUUCAGUAAAGAGGGGUGGCCACUACUUCAGUGCUUAUUCUACAGCAAAAUCCCCAGUCAAUGGAACACCCAGCAGCCAGAUAUCCACUCCAAAAUCUACCAAGUCCUCCAGCUCUUCACCAACCAGUCCAGGGAGCUUUCGUGGACUCAAGAUUCCUCCACACUGUGGCUCUUCUUCCAAUGUCAAUGGUGUGCCUGAACUAUUCCAUUGCAUAAGUCCUGAAGGUGUGAAUGGAAACAAGUGCUCAGGGUCAUCCACUAUUCUUGAGAAAUACAGAGUGGGAAAGGUGAUUGGUGAUGGCAAUUUUGCUGUAGUAAAGGAGUGUGUAGAACGAUACACUGGAAAGGAGUUUGCACUGAAGAUUAUAGACAAGGCAAAAUGCUGUGGAAAGGAGCACCUGAUAGAGAAUGAGGUAUCCAUACUGCGCCAAGUGAAACACCCCAAUAUUAUCAUGCUGAUAGAGGAGAUGGACACUCCAACAGAACUCUAUCUGGUGAUGGAGUUAGUCAAGGGAGGCGACCUAUUUGAUGCUAUCACUUCUUCAACAAAGUAUACGGAGAGAGAUGGUAGCGCAAUGGUCUACAACCUAGCCAGUGCACUGAAAUACCUCCAUGGUCUCAACAUUGUGCACAGAGACAUUAAGCCAGAGAAUCUCCUGGUAUGCGAGUAUUCAGAUGGAACAAAGUCCUUGAAGCUAGGGGACUUUGGACUGGCCACAGUGGUUGAAGAACCCUUAUAUACAGUUUGUGGCACCCCUACAUACGUGGCUCCAGAAAUCAUUGCAGAGACAGGAUAUGGCUUAAAGGUGGAUAUUUGGGCUGCAGGUGUGAUCACAUACAUACUGCUUUGUGGAUUCCCACCUUUUCGCAGUGAGAACAAUCUUCAGGAAGAUCUCUUUGAUCAGAUCCUCAUUGGAAAGCUAGAGUUUCCUUCUCCGUACUGGGAUAACAUCACUGACUCAGCUAAGGAGUUAAUUAGUCUGAUGCUGCAGGUAAACGUAGAAGCUCGAUAUACAGCAGCACAGAUCCUAGGCCAUCCCUGGGUGUCCGAUGAUGCCUCGCAGGAGAAUAAUAUGCAAGUUGAAGUAACAGGUAAACUGAAGCAGCACUUUAACAACGUGCUACCCAAGCAGAACAGUACGACCGCUGGGGUCUCUGUCAUCAUGUUUGACUGGACAGUUUGAGAGGGACUUCAGAGCGUCAUUCUUUAUAGAGUUGAGACUGGGAUAAGCCUGAAGCGGAAAGCUGAACACAGCUCUAGAUAAGGAAAGUCAGAUUUUCUGCAAUAAGCGCUCUCAGGACUCUAAUAGAGCUGGUAUGUAGAAAACUUCUGUGAUUAUUGCUGCAGCUGAAGAUCCUCAUGUGGCUGGGUCCAAGAACCUCUCCCCUGCUUCUUCUGAGCCAAUCAAAUCCCCCACGCAGCCUGUCCCGGCAUGUCAAGACAACGCUGGGGAACAGCUCGCUCUAUAGAAGUGAUUUAAACCAAAGCUCACUUCUAGGCCAGUAGACCCCUUCAACUUAAUGAACAUCCCUCAUAUCUCAUCACAGCUGUGGUUUUUCAGUUUGCUCCUACUCUCUUGUGGCAAGCCCCAGGCAGACUGUCAAUAGGUGGGUGGGUGAAGUGUGUGCUGUAGCUUUGAGUGCUCUUCCAGCCUUUGCCUUCUGAAUUUUUAGAUUUGUUUUUAUCAUUGGAGUUGGUUUAAUGAAAUGCAUUUCUCACACCCUAGGAAUCUGAAUAGCUUAAACUAACACAUAGUUAAACAGUUAUGAGGCCUCACUUGUGUGCAAACAGACUCUCCAAGUCAACAGAACUGGUUUCCCAGAAAAGGGGUAUGCCCCCACAAAAAGCUGUAUUUGUUUCCUGUCCCAGCGAGCUGAGCUGAAGAGGCAAGUUUCCAUGAAAAACUGCAGUGGAUUAACUGUACAAUAUUGAAAGACAAGCUUCUCAAAGAAAAAGGACCCCUUCUCUAAUACCAAACUUCAAGUGACUUUAGAUAUAAUAACAUGAACUCUGGGCAUUUAUUGGUCUGAAGACUGCAGUCAAGGAAGCUUUUUCAUUCUAGCUAUUGUGUAUCGUCCCUACACAACUACAGUAUGUAUUAGAAAUAAUAAAACUUCUUUGAAUGGAAAGCUUGCUGCAUGUUACAUAAGCUAGGAUGGAGCAGUUCUAGGGCAAGCUGACUAACAGAAGAACUACCACUAACCACCAUAAAUAGCUGCCAAUAUUUUAUUACCAUCCCCCUCUUCAUCUAGUGCAGGAACUGGAAACCAUAAUAGGGGAGGCACUGAUCUGUAGUCAAGGAUGGAAGGUGUUUUAUCUUUAUCAUACUACUGCGUUCAAUAAUGUAUUUCCUCUGCUUGGUCCUAGUUCAUUUUCUUUGUUAGCUUUUACUUUCUACUAGAAUUGUAACACCUCCAAUAAUAAACUUUCUUCAUGAAAAAAC